UGGCAAGAAGGAGACGAUGGGCUCGAGCCAGGAUGCUCAUGACUCCCAUCAUCCCUCCGAUAAAGAGCACAAUCACACUAAGGGGCAGCAACACGAUGAAGGUCGCCUGCAUGUCUCAUCUCGUUUGGAACAAGGUCUAGACUCUGACCUGGGCUUUCCAACAAGUGUAUUCGCUGUGAAGGUGAUUUAGUGAGGAGCUGGUGGAUUGUUUUUGUGCUGCUCUGCAGGAAACACGCAUACAGCAGCUGGCAAAUUGGGCAAAGUAAGUGAUUACAACGCAACAGUUUCCCUUUCUCAGCUGGUGGUGAUUUUAUAAGUGAUGAAGGACCAGAGGAAAACAAAGGCUGAGCGAUCACUGGAGAAAGAGCAUGACAUGUUCUAAAGUCUGCCUGCUUUUUCAGCUCUGAAGGGGAAAAAUGCACCGAGAUGUCAACCACUUCCACAAUGACAGACCUUUCUUCUUAACACAAUACACGCAUGCAGCAAGUAGCAGCUGUUGCUCAUCACGAACAUUUCUAAAAAAUUGCUUUUCCUCUAUCUGGCCAUCGAUAUUGGAUGUUAUCUUGAAAGAAUGCUGAUUUCAUUAGAAAACUCGAGUUACUGUUGUAUAGUGAUAAAUCUCAAGAGAUAACAUAUUGAACAAAAUGAUUAGGAAAGAUUGUUGUUUGAUGUUUGAUGAUUUUUAUUAGAAGUGUAAAUAAAUAAAUAUAAAGGAUGUGAAAUUAA